AAUCAGGGUUUGGGAAGCAUCGGAAAAUGUAGUUGGGAGUCCAGAGAGAAGAAGUCCGUCAAAUUUGUAGACGUAUUCGCUCUUUGGGGAGAAGGUACGGUCAAGAGCCGGAGAGGCGGCAAUCGCCAAGGCGACAAGAGAGGCAAUGAUUAUUGACUUCAUUGCGAGAGUGAUUAUUCCCUUUCCAG
ensembl:ncRNA T27A10.8 ncRNA